CCCUUGUCUUUCUGUUUCUCCCUGUUUCUCUCCUGUUUUCUUAUCUUCUUCUUUUGCUGCCUUUCCUGUCAUCUGCAGCUAACAAGCCAAGACAUAGCACAGCCAUGGACAUCUAUUUCAUGAACAUGUGCAUGGGGAUGAAUACUAACCAGAAAUCUACUAAUCCAGAAAAAGCCCUGCCAGAGGCCCUUAGGCUGUACCUGUUUUCUCUGUAGAGUCUGGCCUGUCAGAGAGCUGCAAACAGCCUGUUGGGCUCAGGAAAGGCUGUUUUCCACAGCCUUAUGACAUGAGACAAGUGGAACAAGGUCCUGCCUUUCUUGUCAGCUGAUGAGGCCCGAUCAGCGGUUUCAGCCCAGGUUCCAGUUUUCAGGAGUCCAGUCUCGGAGGGUGACCUCAUCUGGUCUGGCUCAUAUGCUGCCCGAGGUGAAGGUCGAGGUCGAGACUCUUCUGUGCCCGUGAUGGAAAGAAGGACUGAGGCCUGGCAUUUUUUCUGAGGUAGCUGAGGAGGUGGGUCCUGCCAGCCUGUAGGCUUCUCCCUCAGGAGAUGGUGCGCUUGUAGAGAAAAACAAGCCAAUGCCUUGUAAGUCCCACCCCUCCACUAAUUAUCUGGUAUCUCCUGGAGUUUAAUGUCCAGGGUAUAAAAGUCUCCCCUUAUGUUGACAUGGCCCUGCUUUCUUAUAUUAUCCCCCAGUGUGGGGAACCCAGAGAACCACCUGGCUCCGUUCAGCUUGUGUAGAUUCACUCUGACUUCUGACUGCUGGAGACCCACAAUUCUGCCAGGAUUGAGUUGCUUUGCUUACAGAUAUUCCUUCUCCUUGUCUGCACUCUACAGUGGAAAUGACGUCUUGCCUCCCUUUCAGCCACAUCCAGCCAUCAUCACCCUUGCCUUUUGUUGCUCCUUGACUUCGACUUCUACCUUUGCUGUUGCGUUCCUUUCCAGCACAUUCGAGGAUGUUAUAAGAUGUCAUGUACUUUUUCGUUACUCUCCAGAAUGGCAGAAAGAAAUUAGGAACAUUCAAA